rfam:Devosia riboflavina strain IFO13584 contig4, whole genome shotgun sequence.
GGGCAAUGCCGGGCCCCUCUGGUCAUGGGUUCUCCAUGGCGAUGUCGGAAUUGCUCC